AUUGAACGCUGGCGGAAUGCUUUACACAUGCAAGUCGAACGGCAGCACGGACUUCGGUCUGGUGGCGAGUGGCGAACGGGUGAGUAAUGUACCGGAACGUGCCCAGUCGUGGGGGAUAACGUAGUGAAAAUUACGCUAAUACCGCAUACGAUCUAUGGAUGAAAGCGGGGGAUCGCAAGACCUCGCGCGAUUGGAGCGGCCGAUAUCAGAUUAGGUAGUUGGUGGGGUAAAGGCCCACCAAGCCAACGAUCUGUAUCUGGUCUGAGAGGACGACCAGCCACACUGGAACUGAGACACGGUCCAGACUCCUACGGGAGGCAGCAGUGGGGAAUGUUGGACAAUGGGCGAAAGCCUGAUCCAGCCAUUCCGCGUGCAGGAUGAAGGCCCUCGGGUUGUGAACUGCUUUUGUACAGAACGAAAAGGUUUCUACUAAUACUAGGAGCUCAUGACGGUACUGUAAGAAUAAGCACCGGCUAACUACGUGCCAGCCGCCGCGGUAA
rnacentral:rRNA from 1 species